GGAGUGCUUGCACUCUGUGAAACAAGAUACAGGCUAGCGGCGGACGGGUGAGUAACACGUGGGUAACCUGCCCAAGAGAUCGGGAUAACACCUGGAAACAGAUGCUAAUACCGGAUAACAACAGAUGAUGCCUAUCAACUGUUUAAAAGAUGGUUCCGCUAUCACUCUUGGAUGGACCUGCGGUGCAUUAGCUAGUUGGUAGGGUAACGGCCUACCAAGGCGAUGAUGCAUAGCCGAGUUGAGAGACUGAUCGGCCACAUUGGGACUGAGACACGGCCCAAACUCCUACGGGAGGCAGCAGUAGGGAAUCUUCCACAAUGGACGCAAGUCUGAUGGAGCAACGCCGCGUGAGUGAAGAAGGGUUUCGGCUCGUAAAGCUCUGUUGUUGGUGAAGAAGGACAGGGGUAGUAACUGACCUUUGUUUGACGGUAAUCAAUUAGAAAGUCACGGCUAACUACGUGCCAGCAGCCGCGGUAAUACGUAGGUGGCAAGCGUUGUCCGGAUUUAUUGGGCGUAAAGCGAGUGCAGGCGGCUCGAUAAGUCUGAUGUGAAAGCCUUCGGCUCAACCGGAGAAUUGCAUCAG
rnacentral:rRNA from 1 species